ensembl:snRNA U6 U6 spliceosomal RNA
UUUCUCACUUUGGCAGAUGCCCAGAAACUGAAUACACGGAAGAUUAACAUGGCCCCUGUCAAGGAUGACAUGUGGAUUCGUGAGGCAGUCUGUAUUAUA